rnacentral:rRNA from 1 species
UGAAGAAUUUGUCCAACGGUGGGGGAUAGCCGGCCCAACGGCCGGGUAAUACCGCGUACGCCCUUCGAGCGGCAUCGCUUGAUGGGGGAAAGUCGCAAGACGCCGAUGGANAACUUCGCGGCCUAUCAGCUAGUUGGUGAGGUCAUGGCUCACUAAGGCGACGACGGGUANCUGGUCCGAGAGGAUGACCAGCCAGGUUGGGACUGAGACACGGCCCAGACCUCCCGUACGGGGAGCAG